rnacentral:ribozyme from 1 species
UUUUUUUUUUUUUUUUUUUUUUUUUUUUUUUUUUUUUUCUC